rnacentral:rRNA from 1 species
CACGCAGGCGGCUAGGCAAGUCUGACGUGAAAGCUCCCGGCUAAACUAGGGAGGAGGUCGUUGGAAACUAGCUUGGCUUGAGGUAAUGAGAGGGGUGGCGGAAUUCCCGGUGUAGUGGUGGAAUGCGUAGAUAUCGGGAGGAACACCAGUGGCGAAAGCGGCACCCUAGCAUUGACCUGACGCUCAUGUGCGAAAGCGUGGGGAGCGAACG